AACGAACGCUGGCGGCAUGCCUAACACAUGCAAGUCGAACGAAACCUUCGGGUCUAGUGGCGCACGGGUGCGUAACGCGUGGGAACCUGCCCUUAGGUUCGGAAUAACUCCCCGAAAGGGGUGCUAAUACCGGAUAAUGUCUUCGGACCAAAGAUUUAUCGCCUUUGGAUGGGCCCGCGUUGGAUUAGCUAGUUGGUAGGGUAAAAGCCUACCAAGGCGACGAUCCAUAGCUGGUCUGAGAGGAUGAUCAGCCACACUGGGACUGAGACACGGCCCAGACUCCUACGGGAGGCAGCAGUGGGGAAUAUUGGACAAUGGGCGAAAGCCUGAUCAAGCAAUGCCGGGUGAGUGAUGAAGGCCUUAGGGUUGUAAAGCUCUUUUACCCGGGAUGAUAAUGACAGUACCGGGAGAAUAAGCGCCGGCUAACUCCGUG
rnacentral:rRNA from 1 species